ACGGAAGGCAGCAGUGGGGAAUAUUGGGCAAUGGGGGAAACCCUGACCCAGCAACGCCGCGUGAAGGAAGAAGGUCUUCGGAUCGUAAACUUCUGUCCUCAGGGAAGAGAAAGAGACGGUGCCUGAGGAGGAAGCCCCGGCUAACUACGUGCCAGCAGCCGCGGUAAUACGUAGGGGGCAAGCGUUGUCCGGAAUGAUUGGGCGUAAAGGGCGCGUAGGUGGCUCGGUAAGUCUGAAGUGAAAGUCCUGGCUUCAAGUUGGGAAUUGCUUUGGAUACUGUCGAGCUUGAGUGCAGGAGAGGUAAGUGGAAUUCCCAGUGUAGCGGUGAAAUGCGUAGAGAUUGGGAGGAACACCAGUGGCGAAGGCGACUUACUGGACUGUAACUGACGCUGAGGCGCGAAAGUGUGGGGAGCAAACAG
rnacentral:rRNA from 1 species